AGAAAAUAACUACUGAAAAAAAAAAAAGACUCACCUACCUAGACUCAGGUGGGUGCUUCUUUGAGAUAGAGAUGUACAGACAGACAAAGGCCAUGUUCAGGCUUUACUUGAACCUCUGCCUCCCUGCUUGUUGGCAUCAUUUCCCUUAGUAGUGAAUUUUAAAAAAGGUAUUUCUACCUUCUCCUUCACAAUGCAGGGAUUUGUAUUUUAAUUUUGAAACACUUGAGGGGAGCAUCAGAUGAAAUAUUUUAUUUACAUACCUCGAGGAAUGAAGCCUAUUGCUUCCCGAGUUUGUAAACAACACAUCAUAAAUCCCAAAGCAGAAUUGGUUAUUAGAGAUACUGUGAAUACAUUUGUGUUCAAGAGGAAAGAGUAUAGUUGCCAGGGCCACCAGUAUGGGAUAGACUUGUAAUUAAAGUAUAGUUGGGAACUUUAUACAUAAAUAAGCCAGGAAUAAGCUCUAAUAAAAAUACACUCAUAGCCCUGAUGUGGUAAGGAAAGCUAACUGUACACACUUCACCAUCCUGGUUGUUGAUCUUCUAGGCAAGAUUCAUACAAUUUAUCAUUCAGAUUAGACACCUAGACACCAAGUGCUGCUGCUAUUAAUCACAUUGGGUCAACAAACAUAAAUUGGGACUGAGCUAGGCAACUAGUUUAAACAAUUAGCUUAAUUGUGGCAAAUUCUCUUUUUCAGAAAUGAUACUGGAUCUCUACAGAGACCAAAUACAAAGCAUAACAUCAGGUCAAGGGUCAAACAGAUGAGGGGAUAUGUAGUAGCAGAACGAGCAGUGAGGUGUCUAGUGUAGCUGAGUAGGACAUGAAGGGGAACUUCAGUAUUACUGCUUAGGUCUAAGGCAUUCCACUAGUUCCAUAUGUUAAAUGCAUGGUUAUCAGUCCGAGUGCUCUGGGCAGUAGUGGGACCUGUAAGAGGUGAAGCCUAGUUGAAGGUCAUUAAAGAUUGGUCUUUGCAGGAAGUAUUGGACUCUCAACCACCCUCUCCUGUGUUUCUCUCUCUCUUGUUUUUCUGGAUGUUGAACUGCCUGUUUGUGCUCUGUCACAUGUUUCCUGACAUGAUGUCCUGUCUCACCACUAUCCCCGAGAACAACAAAACCAACAGAAUACUGACCGAGACCUCAGAAACCGUGGGAUCAAAUACGUCUAUCCUCAUUUACAGUUGUUUUCGUCAAGAAUUUGGCACAGUGACAGAAAACUAACAGUUCGCUUUGCGUGCUUGCGUGUCGACUCUGACACCUCUACAGAGACAGACAGCAGGCACAGUAAGCAGCGUGAAGAAUGUUUCUGGCCCUGGCGUGAAGCUUGCCAAGAGGAAUGAAUGAGCACUGAAUGUUGCUGAUGUGGUGUGUGUUCUUUUACCAAGUCCCCAGUCUGGAUCAAAGAAAAGGUAUGAUCCAGGAUCCCACCCUGCACUUGGUCAUCAUAUUUUCUCUGACUCGCUUUGGCUGGGAACUCUUCCUUUGACUUAGAUGAUGUAAAGUUUGUGUAUUAGUUGCUUUUCUGUUACCGUGAUAAAACACCGUGUUAGAAUUCUUCACGGUGGAGGAGGGAGGUGCAGGUGGUGGAUAUGAUGCAGUGGCCGGAGAAGGAAGGUGAGCAUUUACAUUUUAAAUGCAAGCAUGAAGUAGAGAGAGCAAAUUGGGAAUGGUGUGAGGUUUGUCCCCUCAGUGACUGUCCCUAAUGGCAUCCUUCCUCCAGCAAGUCUGCAUGACCCAAACCUUGUCAAGGAGCUCUGUCCCUGGGGACCAAGUACUCAGAUGCCCGAGACACAGGGACAAUUCUCAUUUAAACUUCUACAGGCUGAUUCUUAUUUUCUUCUUCCUUGUUGAUUUUUUUCUAAACGUAAGCAAGGCAGUACUUCAGUACUGUCACCCCCACCUCCUCCCCUCUUCAUCUUCUUGACUCCAAAGGUUAGAGUGUUAGAGUGCCAGAAGAAGUAAAAUAAUAAGACAGUAUACACACACACACACACACACACACACACA